GAGGAAUAUUGGUCAAUGGACGGAAGUCUGAACCAGCCAAGUAGCGUGCAGGAUGACGGCCCUAUGGAUUGUAAACUGCUUUUGUAUGGGGAUAAAGUUAGGGACGUGUCCCUAUUUGCAGGUACCAUACGAAUAAGGACCGGCUAAUUCCGUGCCAGCAGCCGCGGUAAUACGGAAGGUCCAGGCGUUAUCCGGAUUUAUUGGGUUUAAAGGGAGCGUAGGCUGGAGAUUAAGUGUGUUGUGAAAUGUAGACGCUCAACGUCUGAAUUGCAGCGCAUACUGGUUUCCUUGAGUACGCACAACGUUGGCGGAAUUCGUCGUGUAGCGGUGAAAUGCUUAGAUAUGACGAAGAACUCCGAUUGCGAAGGCAGCUGACGGGAGCGCAACUGACGCUUAAGCUCGAAGGUGCGGGUAUCAAACAGGAUUAGAUACCCUGGUAGUCCGCACAGUAAACGAUGGAUGCCCGCUGUUGGUACCUGGUAUCAGCGGCUAAGCGAAAGCAUUAAGCAUCCCACCUGGGGAGUACGCCGGCAACGGUG
rnacentral:rRNA from 1 species